rnacentral:rRNA from 1 species
UACGUAGGGGGCAAGUGUUGUCCGGAUUUAUUGGGCGUAAAGAGCGUGUAGGCGGCCAUACAGGUCAGCUGUGAAAACUCGAGGCUCAACCUCGAGACGUCGGUUGAAACCGUAUGGCUAGAGUCCGGAAGAGGAGAGUGGAAUUCCCGGUGUAGCGGUGAAAUGCGCAGAUAUCGGGAAGAACACCCGUGGCGAAGGCGGCUCUCUGGGACGGUACUGACGCUGAGACGCGAAAGCGUGGGGAGCAAACCGG